UACAGAGGGUGCGAGCGUUGUUCGGAAUUACUGGGCGUAAAGCGCGCGCAGGCGGCCCUUUAAGUCCGUCGGUCAAAUGCCGGGGCUCAACCCCGAUGCAUGCCGAGGAUACUGGAGGGCUGGAGACACGUAGAGGCAAGCGGAAUUCCGGGUGUAGCGGUGGAAUGCGUAGAGAUCCGGAAGAACACCGGAGGCGAAGGCGGCUUGCUGGGCGUGGUCUGACGCUGAGGCGCGAAAGCGUGGGGAGCGAACAGG
rnacentral:rRNA from 1 species